rnacentral:lncRNA from 1 species
AGGUCUCUAGAUGUUACAGAGAACCCUGAACAACCCAAUCUACUAAUCUUUGAUACCGCUUUAUACUCACGACCUUGUAUCCACUGACUGUCUUGUUAGAUUAAUCCAAAAAUUUUCAUUCACUCUGCAUACUCAAUCUAUAGACACCCUUUUAAUUCUUCAAUCACAGACAUAACUUUGAUUUUACAAAACAGUUAAGAGUAAUCACACCCACUUCAUUAAAACCCCAAUUCACCAGUAUAGCAUUGACUUCAGCAACGAUUGCCUCAAUCUUCCCAAAACCCUAUGAAGAAAAAAAAUCCAAUUCUCUGUCUUUUUCUCCCUCCCGAAGCAUGAAGCUAGCUCUCUAACCUUUUAAAAACCUUAUUCUCUCCCCUUCAUUUCUUAACCUAUCCUCCUCUUUAACCCUAAUUCUUCCCUCUUUCAAAUCGUAGCCUC